GCUGUUCCGGGUCAUGGGACAGACUAACCUGAGGGUCGGCGGUGCGUCCAGGGUCCCUACUUUACUUCUGUGAAGAUGGAUAUGUCAUAUCCCGGGCCAGGAUUCCUUCCAGACCAGACCUUUCUCCUCCAGUACCCCUACCCUCCAAAAAUAUUUCGAGAUCUCUUGGAGAGAAGGCUAGGGACAAGCCCUGCUCCGGGGAGCCAGGCAUCCCUGGUCGGUGCUGAAGCGGGCCCCUACGUUUGCACACACAGCUGGCUAAUCGAACCCCGCUGGGCAGAUAAACCAUGAGAUAGUAGCUGGGUUGGUAAAGGAAGAGGAGAGGCACACACCCACGACAAAAAUUGGAAUAAUCCUUUGGAGGAACACACAGAAAAUAGAAAUCUCAGCUAUUCCAGGCUCCCGCCCCACCCAGUCCAGGCCACGCCCUAGCGUGUGACGUCAGCACGCCCCGUGCGUCGCGGCGCGGCGCUCACUGGGGGCCCGGCUUUCGCCCGCUGCUGCCGCCGCCGCCGCCGGCCGCGGCUGCUCUCCCAAGAUGGCGGCUCCUCCGGGCGAGUACUUCAGCGUUGGGAGCCAGGUGUCGUGCCGGACGUGCCAGGAGCAGCGGCUGCAGGGCGAGGUGGUAGCCUUCGACUACCAGUCCAAGAUGCUGG